CAAAUUGCAAGGUGCUGCAUGGUUGUCGUCAGCUCGUGCCGUGAGGUGUCAGGUUAAGUCCUAUAACGAGCGCAACCCCUUUGGUUAGUUACCAGCAUGUAAUGAUGGGGACUCUAGCCAUACUGCCAGUGUAAACUGUGAGGAAGGUGGGGAUGACGUCAAAUCAUCACGGCCCUUACGUCCUGGGCUACACACGUGCUACAAUGGUAGGGACAGAGAGCAGCCACUGGGUGACCAGGAGCGAAUCUACAAACCCUAUCACAGUUCGGAUCGCAGUCUGCAACUCGACUGCGUGAAGCUGGAAUCGCUAGUAAUCGCAUAUCAGCCAUGAUGCGGUGAAUACGUUCCCGGGCCUUGUACACACCGCCCGUCAAGCCAUGGAAGCUGGGGGUACCUGAAGUCGGUCGCCGCGAGGAGCCGCCUAGGGUAAAACUAGUAACUGGG
rnacentral:rRNA from 1 species